UACGUAGGGUGCGAGCGUUAUUCGGAAUUACUGGGCGUAAAGCGUGCGCAGGCGGUUCGUUAAGUUCGUCGUGAAAGCCCCGGGCUCAACCUGGGAAUGGCGAUGGAAACUGGCGGGCUGGAGUGUGGCAGAGGGGGGUGGAAUUCCGCGUGUAGCAGUGAAAUGCGUAGAUAUGCGGAGGAACACCGAUGGCGAAGGCAAUCCCCUGGACCUGUACUGACGCUCAUGCACGAAAGCGUGGGGAGCAAACAGG
rnacentral:rRNA from 1 species